rnacentral:rRNA from 1 species
CAAUAGCGUAUAUUAAAGUUGUUGCAGUUAAAAAGCUCGUAGUUGGAUUUCUGGGAGGGUGCUAAUGUCCGCCGUAGCGCGUGUGCAGCCGCGCCCUUCCAUCCUUCUGUUAACGCCUCUUGGCAUUUGUUUGCUGGUGGCGGGCUCAGAUAUUUUACCUUGAAAAAUUAGAGUGUUUAAAGCAGGCGUUUGCUGUGAAUACAUUAGCAUGGAAUAAUAAGAUAGGACUUUGGUGCUAUUUUGUUGGUUUGUACACCGAGGUAAUGAUUAAUAGGGACAGUUGGGGGUAUUCGUAUUUAAUUGUCAGAGGUGAAAUUCUUGGAUUUAUGAAAGACGAACUACUGCGAAAGCAUUUACCAAGGAUGUUUUCAUUAAUCAAGAACGAAAGUUAGGGGAUCGAAGACGAUUAGAUACCAU